UGUUUUCAAUGAUGAUUCUUUAUACCUACAUUGUUUGAGCAAAAACAGUGAUGAUUUGACAAGUAACUGAGAGAGCA